CUCUUAAGCAGCAUGCGCUGAGAUUGCAGAAACCUGAAAGAUAGGGAAAGUGUGUAUCCCAUCUCCCCUUCCUGCCUGACUCUCAAGUAAGUUUUCUUUAAGUAUCUUUUUUCUUCAGCUUCAGGAAAAAGAGGACCUUAGAACUGAAGGAGCAAGAUUCCAACAUCACACUGUUUUUGUUAGCUGUGUGUGUGUGUUUCCUGUGUAUCCAAAAGACAGAGGAGAUGAAAAAGCAAAAGAAAAGAAACGAGGAAUCAGAUUGGAAAGAAGGUUUCUCCAGGACGUCACCUGUAUGAGGUACACAGUGUGAUGACACACUCUGUGCUUUUCCUACUUGUGUCCACGUGAGUGUCUGGAGCUGCCCUUCAAGGAGAGCAAUAGAUGAAUGAUUCUGCCUUCCCGCUGAGAGGGAUGUGGGUCCUGCGGAUGGUCGGGGUGAAGCUUCCUCUCCUUUCUGCUGACAGCACUUCCUCAUUAAAUGCAGAGAUCUGCAAAAAGG
rnacentral:lncRNA from 1 species